AGACUCCAAUGAAGACAGUGGGAAAGAGCCCACCUUGGCCCAGAAGUUUGAGAAGUUUCAAAAGGAGGUCCAGACUUUUGUUGAUAACCUUGGUGAGAAGACCAAAGUUGCACUUCGUGAAUUCCACAACAGCGAAUUCAGCAACAAAACCAGGAACUGGCUUUCCGAGGCUUUCCAGAAGUUGAAGAAAAAACUUGAACCCAUAACCUCCCAAGAUGGAUCUGACUGAAUGUCCCUGGAUUCCAUCAGUGAUAGAGAAGAUGCUCAUGUAAUCCCAACCGUAGCAGUGGA